rnacentral:lncRNA from 1 species
CUUUACCUUAAGUUCUGCAACCAAAACAAACACAAAAAUUUUGGCAGCAAUUAAUAAUUUUCCCCCCAAAAAAGAUACUGGAAGUCAGUAAAGCAGCCAUAUAAAUAAAUAUUUUAAAGAAUGUCCUGAAAGGACUUUUACGAGAGCUAGAAGGCAGGUUCCCUAUCCCAUAUGUGAAUUGAAUUCGACCACUGAAGCUUCAGAGAAUCUAUAUAUUGUUUAUUAGCUAGCUGAUUAAAAGGAAGAUAGGGCUAAUUCUAUCCAGAGAAUCAAAACAAACACCAAUGCCACCAAUUAUUCAGUCGAACCCCUUUGUCAUAUAGUAAUUGAGCUCAAUUUCAGAAUUAAUAUCUCCCAACCUCUAGUUAGUGCCAUUCACUAAGAUUAAUCAAAAUCCACAUGCUCCAUAAAUUAUCAAGCCGAAUUCCAAAUUUUCUUCAGAAAGAAGGAAUAUUACCUCUACCAGAUGAAAAGGAAAGUGCGCAUAUGAUAAUUGCCACAAUCAUCCACCCCCUUCUUUCCAUACUCUGCCAAAAAUUUUAAAAAUAAAUAAAUAAAUAAUAACAACUUAAACUCUCAAGACAAGUUAACCCCUUGAUUAAUUACAGAACAAAUUUAGCGCAAAAAAAGUACAAAAUUAACCUCCUUAAAAGGUCUGUAAGUUAAUUCAAUUCUUCAAAUUUGAUGAAUUCCGGUGAUCGUAAAAAGACGCAGAUUUUCGGGGAUGAGAAGGGGCAAAACGACGACGGAUCACAAAGGCUCGACCUUUUACGGCUAUGGUGAAUUCGUACAAGAUGAGCUUGUUGCCUCUUAUGACUAUGGUGAAUUCCAACUUUUUAAACCGGAGAGAGACUGAAAUUCCGAAGUUACCCCGGUUUAUGAGACUUUUGCCGGCGGCUUAUUGCCUUGGCAGGUGGAAUUCUGGGUUUAAGAUGGGGGUGAUUUCGUAAUUUCACGGAACUGGGGCGUGUAGACGGCGGGUUGAGGUGGAGAUGAUGAUCUUUACUUCGUGGGCUCCAGCAGAUCCCUUACAGGGAUAUCACAUGGGUUACAUUUCAAAAGGAUCUAAUCAAAAGAACAC